CAAAGUAUUGGAAUAAUUAAAUCGGGCCCAAUCAACAAAUAAUGCAUGAGUGUAAGUGCAAGAGAACCGGCUCAUUGUAAGAAAGCCCAAGAGUAAGCUAUGUGAGGUUGAUGGCGAUGCUUAAAAAGCGAUCGACUUACAAGGGUGUGAGAAUGGGCUCGAUAUUAAAUCGAGAAAAAUAUGAUUUUUUAUAAGUUUAAAAAUGGUUUUGCAUGCAUGAUGAACUUAAUAGACAACAAAUCUAUGAUAAUGAAACUAUGAAAAAUAAUGAAGCAUAAACAUAACAAAAAAAAUGUUAAAAGAAAUAAAAUACUAAAAGGAAAUAAAAUGCUAAAAGAAAAAUACUAAAAAAUGCUACACAUGAGUAUUGAACCCACCCCACUCAAGACUAUGAUACUACCCUUCUCCACCAGACCACUCAUGAUUAUCUGCUACUGUGGUGCUACGUUAAAUAUAUAAACCGGGAUAAAAAAUGAAAAAAAAAGAUUAAGAUAAAAAAUAAAAAGAACAAUAAAAGAAAAUACUAACAUAUAAACAUUUUUAUGUUUUUUUUUGUUUAUCUCUGUUAAAACAAAUUAAAUUAAAUUAAAAAUUAAAAGAAAAGAAAAAAAAGAAUGGAAACGAAGAAACAGAAGCUCGUCUUCCUUCACCCUCUCCCCAACCUCACGAACUCA
rnacentral:lncRNA from 1 species